rnacentral:rRNA from 3 species
CUUCCGUAGGUGAACCUGCGGAAGGAUCAU